AUUGAACGCUGGCGGCAGGCCUAACACAUGCAAGUCGAACGGUAACAGGAAGCAGCUUGCUGCUUCGCUGACGAGUGGCGGACGGGUGAGUAAUGUCUGGGAAGCUGCCUGAUGGAGGGGGAUAACUACUGGAAACGGUAGCUAAUACCGCAUAAUGUCGCAAGACCAAAGAGGGGGACCUUCGGGCCUCUUGCCAUCGGAUGUGCCCAGAUGGGAUUAGCUUGUUGGUGGGGUAACGGCUCACCAAGGCGACGAUCCCUAGCUGGUCUGAGAGGAUGACCAGCCACACUGGGACUGAGACACGGUCCAGACUCCUACGGGAGGCAGCAGUGGGGAAUAUUGCACAAUGGGCGCAAGCCUGAUGCAGCCAUGCCGCGUGUAUGAAGAAGGCCUUCGGGUUGUAAAGUACUUUCAGCAGGGAGGAAGGGAGUAAAGUUAAUACCUUUGCUCAUUGACGUUACCCGCAGAAGAAGCACCGGCUAACUCCGUG
rnacentral:rRNA from 1 species